rnacentral:lncRNA from 1 species
AGCCUUUUUCAAAAUGCCGGCGGUGGCAGGGAAGGUUGUUUGCUCCAGAGGCUUCCCUAGAGUGAAGAGCUCUACUAUGUAUGCUUUAUGCGGCAGAAGGAGUGCUUUGGAGGAGUUUUUAAAUUUCUGUUUUUUUUUUAAAUCUUAUCUCAUCGGUUUUAAUUGUAGCAAUGAUUCAAGAAACGUUAGUAGGUGCCCAUAACUUUGGUGGUGGAGAUCCAAAAGUGAACAAGACAGUGUUCUGGCUGCUAAAUUCUUCUUAACUGGUUAUGCCUGGAGACCUUCACUUGGUUCUGUGCCAGCACUGCCUAUGAACUUCAUAGACUGUGAUCUUUGCUAAGGCCUAAAUGAAUGAAGGUGCAGGACCGGAAGCAGAAGACAGAAAGUGGAGACCAAAUGUUUGAAGCUGGGUAAAGGCAGGGAUGGAGCAGGAACCGAGGAACAAACCUUGGAACUAGGUAAGUUUCCUGAGGCCUUCCCAGAAGUAGAAGCCUGCACAGUCCACAGAACUCUGAGUCAAUUAAACCUUUUUUCUUUAUAAAUUACCCAGUCUUAGGUAGUUCUUUAUAACAGUA